AUUGAACGCUGGCGGCAGGCCUAACACAUGCAAGUCGAGCGGAUGAAGAGAGCUUGCUCUCUGAUUCAGCGGCGGACGGGUGAGUAAUGCCUAGGAAUCUGCCUGGUAGUGGGGGACAACGUUUCGAAAGGAACGCUAAUACCGCAUACGUCCUACGGGAGAAAGCAGGGGACCUUCGGGCCUUGCGCUAUCAGAUGAGCCUAGGUCGGAUUAGCUAGUUGGUGGGGUAAAGGCUCACCAAGGCGACGAUCCGUAACUGGUCUGAGAGGAUGAUCAGUCACACUGGAACUGAGACACGGUCCAGACUCCUACGGGAGGCAGCAGUGGGGAAUAUUGGACAAUGGGCGAAAGCCUGAUCCAGCCAUGCCGCGUGUGUGAAGAAGGUCUUCGGAUUGUAAAGCACUUUAAGUUGGGAGGAAGGGCAGUAAGUUAAUACCUUGCUGUUCUGACGUUACCAACAGAAUAAGCACCUGCUAACUUCGUGCCAGCCGCCGCGGUAACAC
rnacentral:rRNA from 1 species